UAUAUGAGUAUGUAUUUCUUUUCUACUGAAUUACUGAAAUAACCUAAAAUAGCAAUUAGUAAUUGCAUGAUAGAUCAAUUAAUGAUGGAUGAGAGAUGGAUUUAGAUUCAAGUUCUGCAAAAUAGAUUUAUUUAUGAAGAAAGGUUUUUGAACUAUAUCAAGAAAACCACCAGUUCCAAGGUUUUAGAUUCAAGUUCUGCAAAAAGUUCUUAUUUUCACUUUCUUCAUGGAACAUGGAGAUUUUGCUUAAAGGUUUUGACAUAGAGGGUGGACUCAUUUGCUAUACAAGAAACAUAUUUUCAUAUACUCUUAUCUAAAGCCUUAUGCAGGACGCAAAGUAGUUCCAAAGUGUUGGAAUGUUUAUUCUGUAACCUGAAAGUGUAAUUGGACUUAAAGUUCCAAUGGUGAUUGAGUUCCAAUAAUGAUGGAGAAGGCAGAUUCUGCACAGAACUUAUAUACAAUAAUGAGGCUGUGGGAAUUUUCUGAUUAAUAUGUCAUUGAGCCCACAGAUGGAUCUUCUGUUUUGUGUAUGGAAAUCAGUUGGGUGGAUGAAUCUAUGAAUUUAAUAGAUGAAAUGCCACAUUGCAGCACUCUUUGUGUUCCAAAAAUUCAAACAAUCUUUGGUGUUGUUGGGAUGCU